rnacentral:rRNA from 1 species
GACGAACGCUGGCGGCGUGCCUAAUACAUGCAAGUAGAACGCACAGUUUAUACCGUAGCUUGCUACACCAUAGACUGUGAGUUGCGAACGGGUGAGUAACGCGUAGGUAACCUGCCUGGUAGCGGGGGAUAACUAUUGGAAACGAUAGCUAAUACCGCAUAAUAUUAAUUAUUGCAUGAUAAUUAAUUGAAAGGUGCAAUUGCACCACUACCAGAUGGACCUGCGUUGUAUUAGCUAGUAGGUGAGGUAACGGCUCACCUAGGCGACGAUACAUAGCCGACCUGAGAGGGUGAUCGGCCACACUGGGACUGAGACACGGCCCAGACUCCUACGGGAGGCAGCAGUAGGGAAUCUUCGGCAAUGGACGAAAGUCUGAUCGAGCAACGCCGCGUGAGUGAAGAAGGUUUUCGGAUCGUAAAGCUCUGUUGUAAGAGAAGAACGGGUGUGAGAGUGGAAAGUUCACACUGUGACGGUAUCUUACCAGAAAGGGACGGCUAACUACGUG